rnacentral:rRNA from 1 species
GAUGAACGCUGGCGGCGUGCCUAAUACAUGCAAGUCGAGCGAACAGAUGAGGAGUUUGCUCAUCUGACGUUAGCGGCGGACGGGUGAGUAACACGUGGGUAACCUACCUAUCAGUCUGGGAUAACUUCGGGGAACCGGAGCUAACACCGGCUAAUUUAUUGACACGCAUGGUUCCAUAGUGAAAGACGGUUUUGGUGUCACUUAUAGAUGGAUCCGCGCCGCAUUAGCUAGUUGGUAAGGUAACGGCUUACCAAGGCAACGAUGCGUAGCCGACCGGAGAGGGUGGUCGGCCACACUGGAACUGAGACGCGGCCCAGACUACUACGGGAGGGAGCAGAGGGGAAUCUUACGCAAUGGGCGGAGGCCUGGCGGGACAACGCCGCGUGGGUGAUGAGAGUCUGGGGAUCGGGAAAGUCUGUUGUUAGUGAGGAACAAAAGUGUAAGUAACUAUUGACGUCUUGACGGUACCGAAUCAGAAAGCAACGGCUAAUUACGUG